rnacentral:rRNA from 1 species
GUUAAAAUCUACAAUAGAUUUAAUGCAUUGGAUCCCAUUAGAACUCCCUAGUUAAGCGCGUUCAGGCUAGAGUAGUAUUGUGAUGGGUGACCGCACAGGAAGUCCUAGUGUUUUACAUG